CCCUAGAGAACUCAUAGCCAGCCUAUUAAGGCAUAUUUUAGUUUUCUGUAAACCCUAUCCCAUUAAACCAUUGUUAUUUUAACCAGAGAGCUAUUUAGGUGCUCUCUGUUUGUAUGUAUUUGUGAGGAAGGAGGAGACUGAAGCUGUGACCGACCUAGUAUGACUUUGUGCCUCUUUGUAGACUGUUUUUUCUCAUUUCGACAUCUGGGCUUUUCUUUCUCAAUGGAGAUUCCUGAAGACAGCUAAGACAUGAGCUUCCUUGCCACUGGCUGCCUGCAAGGUGGUUGGCACUGGGGUACUCAGACUGUAGUUCUAAACAAAGUGAUAUAAAAACUUUUUUUCCCAACCUGAAUUAUGCAAGGAGAAGAACAAGUAGUCCUUUCCAUCAGUGGAAACACAGCUGAAGGGAACGUAGGGCAGAGAGAAAAUGGACAGUACUCUGAAGGUGUACGCAGACUAGAGGAAUGUCUUCUACUAAUACUGCAUCUAUAUAAAAUGGCUGGAACAUACAGAGCAGAAGAGAGCUAACUGUCCCUUUGAUGCUGUAAAUGAUGACAGUGAAGAAAUCAGAGUGGGUAUAGCUGUGAACAUGGGCCAUAAAAGGCUGCAGCCACUGCCGGGAGCUUACUUUAGAAACUCACAGGGCAGAUCUCCAAGAUCACAGUGUCUGCCAGGCAGAAGAUGGUGAAAGCAUGAAACAGCCACAACCUUCUUCCAUGAGGGCAUGAGGCAAGAUGGUUAGAGACCGCAGAUGGCUCUUAUAUGAUGGUCAGUUUUGGGAAAUGAUAUGUCAGCCCCAUUGUCCAAGAUAUUUAACCGUCAAGAGAAGUAACAAUGCUCAUCAAGUAAUAUUAUGACAGACUGUAAGACAAUAAAAUGAAAUAAGUAUGGGGUGUAUGGGCUUUAUUUUAAGUGAAUGUGGAAAUUUAUAAUCUCCG
ensembl:lncRNA